GAUGAACGCUGGCGGCGUGCCUAAUACAUGCAAGUCGAGCGAACAGACGAGGAGCUUGCUCCUCUGACGUUAGCGGCGGACGGGUGAGUAACACGUGGAUAACCUACCUAUAAGACUGGGAUAACUUCGGGAAACCGGAGCUAAUACCGGAUAAUAUAUUGAACCGCAUGGUUCAAUAGUGAAAGACGGUUUUGCUGUCACUUAUAGAUGGAUCCGCGCCGCAUUAGCUAGUUGGUAAGGUAACGGCUUACCAAGGCAACGAUGCGUAGCCGACCUGAGAGGGUGAUCGGCCACACUGGAACUGAGACACGGUCCAGACUCCUACGGGAGGCAGCAGUAGGGAAUCUUACGCAAUGGGCGAAAGCUUGACGGAGCAACGCCGCGUGAGUGAUGAAGGUCUUCGGAUCGUAAAACUCUGUUAUUAGGGAAGAACAAAUGUGUAAGUAACUAUGAACGUCUUGACGGUACCUAAUCAGAAAGCCACGGCUAACUACGUG
rnacentral:rRNA from 1 species